rnacentral:rRNA from 1 species
GACGAACGCUGGCGGCGUGCUUAACACCUGCAAGUCGAAAGACGUGGCGAACGGGGGAGUAAUAUGUGGGUAACCUGUCCUCCUUUUGGGGAUACGCCUUUGAAACUGGGUCUAAUACCCAACCUACGGGGAUGUGUCCGCGGCCUAUCAGCGUGUUGGUGGGGGGAUGGCCUACCACGGCGUUGACGGGUAGCCGGCGUGCGGGGGGGACCGGCGAGGUUGGGAGUGAGAUACGGCCCAGGCUCCUACGGUAGGCAGCAGUGGGAGAGAGUUCACAAGGGUCGAAAACCUGAUUCAGCGACGCCGCGUGGGGGGUGAAGGGUUUCGGGUUGUAAACCUCUUUCGCUAUCGAACGGGUAGGUGGAGAAGGAGGUCCGGCUAACUACGUGCCAGCAGCCGCGGUAAUAC